AUGAAAGAAAAAAUUCCAUGGAACCACAAGACAAAAAUCAAGAGAUGGAAAGCUGGAUGGCAGCAUUUCAGUAAGGUGAGGAAAAUGUGUAUGAAACUUGUGAGAUGGUGUUGCAUAUCCAGUACCAGAAGUCCUUGGGCCAGAAGUGCUUCUGCUGUACACCACCAAAAGGGAUUAUCAGUGGAACAACGGAUCAUCAAUUGGGUUUCAACCGCUGGAAGACAGAAAUGGAAAAUGUCUGGCAAUUCUAAAAAAGACUGGUACGUCCGGCAAACAAGCUGACUUCAUUCCUUGCCCCCACAACGGCAGCAUUGUACACUUCAAUGCAGGCACAAAUCAGCAGCAACAAUGGGAAUUAUGCCUCAUGGUACCGGAGCCUGAACUGGAGAGAUACUGAGGAAUGUCACAGCCUUAAAAAAAUGACAUGACUGAACCCAGAAUUUUUUUUUUUUUAAUAGCUAUUGUUUAAACCAGGCUCCCAGCAUUUCUCUGUUAAAAACAUCUGCUUUUGAAAUGGUUAUAAAAUCACCUUGGUCAAAGGGUAAACUGUGAGUCUAACAGCAACUCUGAAAAGUUCUUUCCUUGGCUUAUAGCUACUGAUGUUGCCCUGUUACUGGAGUACCUCACUGCUUUUACCCAGCUCAUGUAUCCUCACCGUGAAAGAUUGUAUUGGCAGAAGACCCGCUACCUGAGGAACAGCAGCUCUGAGAAGACAGUUGAAAAUGUUGUUUCAUUGGUAGAGUGUUUGUAUGGCAACUAUAUAUUUGCUGGGGAUUCGUGUCAGCUCAGAGCUUUCAGGAAGAGGGUUUAUGUACGCAACAGAAAUGCUGGCCAUUGGUGGCUGACAUUACAGUUUCAAUGUGUCUGAAAAUCUGUGAUUACAAAAAGCAAUAUAAAUAUAGUAGUGCAAACCAGCCUUAAAGGAGUCUCCAAUUUAGCCUGUUAGCCUUGAUGCUAGUGCUACCUAGGAG
rnacentral:lncRNA from 1 species